GUCUACACCCAUACCACCCUGAACACACACGAUCUCGUCUGAUCUUGGAAACUAAGCAGCGUCAGGCCUGGUGUUAGUACUUCGAUGGGAGAAAGUAAGAAAGAGAAGGCA
rnacentral:rRNA from 1 species